GACGAACGCUGGCGGCGUGCUUAACACAUGCAAGUCGAACGGAAAGGCCCUGCUUGUGUGGGGUUCUCGAGGGGCGAACGGGUGAGUAACACGUGAGUAACCUGCCCUUGACUUUGGGAUAACUUCAGGAAACUGGGGCUAAUACCGGAUAGGAGCUCCUGCUGCAUGGUGGGGGUUGGAAAGUUUCGGCGGUUGGGGAUGGACUCGCGGCUUAUCAGCUUGUUGGUGGGGUAGGGGCUUACCAAGGCUUUGACGGGUAGCCGGCCUGAGAGGGUGACCGGCCACCUUGGGACUGCGAUACGGCGCAGACUCCUACGUGAGGCAGCAGUCGGGAAUCUUGCCCAGUCGGCGCACGCCUGAUGCAGCAGCGCCGCGUUCGGGAUGACGUCCUUCGGGUUGUGAACAGCUUCAGCUUGUGACGACGCGUGAGUGACGGUACUGGGUAAAGAAGCACCGGCUAACUACGUG
rnacentral:rRNA from 1 species